UACGUAGGGUGCAAGCGUUAAUCGGAAUUACUGGGCGUAAAGCGUGCGCAGGCGGUUUUGUAAGACUGUCGUGAAAUCCCCGGGCUUAACCUGGGAAUGGCGAUGGUGACUGCAAGGCUAGAGUUUGGCAGAGGGGGGUAGAAUUCCACGUGUAGCAGUGAAAUGCGUAGAGAUGUGGAGGAACACCGAUGGCGAAGGCAGCCCCCUGGGUCAAGACUGACGCUCAUGCACGAAAGCGUGGGGAGCAAAUAGG
rnacentral:rRNA from 1 species